rnacentral:rRNA from 1 species
UACGGAGGGUGCAAGCGUUAUCCGGAUUCACUGGGUUUAAAGGGUGCGUAGGUGGGCAGGUAAGUCAGUGGUGAAAUCUCCGGACUUAACCCGGAAACUGCCAUUGAUACUAUCUGUCUUGAAUACCGUGGAGGUGAGCGGAAUAUGUCAUGUAGCGGUGAAAUGCUUAGAUAUGACAUAGAACACCAAUUGCGAAGGCAGCUCACUACACGAAUAUUGACACUGAGGCACGAAAGCGUGGGGAUCAAACAGG